AUGAAGAUUGCAGAGAGAUUUUCUCGUGAUCCUUCCACAGGGCGAAGGAUGAAUGUGAUAAAGGUUAAUUGUUAUUGUGCAAAACGGUUUGGUGAAGUAAUUUCUAAGGCAUGGCCAAAUGGAAGGAAGCAUGAAGAUCGCUUAAGAGCAUUAAGUUUGAUGAAGAUUAGACUUAGGAUUAGGAUAGGUUUUGGAAUAACUUGUAAUGAUAUCUCAAUAAUAUUUGCUCCUUAUGUAUCUCAAUAG